rnacentral:rRNA from 1 species
GUCGAACGCUGGCGGCGUGCUUAACACAUGCAAGUCGAACGGAAAGGCCCUGCUUUUGUGGGGUGCUCGAGUGGCGAACGGGUGAGUAACACGUGAGUAACCUGCCCUUGACUUUGGGAUAACUUCAGGAAACUGGGGCUAAUACCGGAUAGGAGCUCCUGCUGCAUGGUGGGGGUUGGAAAGUUUCGGCGGGUGGGGAUGGACUCGCGGCUUAUCAGCUUGUUGGUGGGGUAGUGGCUUGCCAAGGCUUUGACGGGUAGCCGGCCUGAGAGGGUGACCGGCCACAUUGGGCCUGAGAGACGGCCCAGACUCCUAUGGGAGGCAGCAGUGGGGAAUAUUGCACAAUGGGCGGAAGCCUGAUGCAGCAACGCCGCGUGCGGGAUGACGGCCUUCGGGUUGUAAACCGCUGUCGCCUGUGACGAAGCGUGAGUGACGGUAAUGGGUAAAGAAGCACCGGCUAACUACGUG